CCAUGCCGCGUGUGUGAAGAAGGCCUUCGGGUUGUAAAGCACUUUCAGUUGUGAGGAAAAGUUAGUAGUUAAUACCUGCUAGCCGUGACGUUAACAACAGAAGAAGCACCGGCUAACUCCGUGCCAGCAGCCGCGGUAAUACGGAGGGUGCGAGCGUUAAUCGGAAUUACUGGGCGUAAAGCGCACGCAGGCGGUUUGUUAAGCUAGAUGUGAAAGCCCCGGGCUCAACCUGGGAUGGUCAUUUAGAACUGGCAGACUAGAGUCUUGGAGAGGGGAGUGGAAUUCCAGGUGUAGCGGUGAAAUGCGUAGAUAUCUGGAGGAACAUCAGUGGCGAAGGCGACUCCCUGGCCAAAGACUGACGCUCAUGUGCGAAAGUGUGGGUAGCGAACAGGAUUAGAUACCCUGGUAGUCCACACCGUAAACGCUGUCUACUAGCUGUGUGUGCCUUUAAGGCGUGCGUAGCGAAGCUAACGCGCUAAGUAGACCGCCUGGGGAGUACGGCCGCAAGGUUAAAACU
rnacentral:rRNA from 1 species